rnacentral:lncRNA from 1 species
UCGGUACUGUAAGGCUUUAUUUAAAGGAAUUGGAACACAAAAAUAAAAGCAUUUCAAACAAUGAUUGAAUGAACAAAAAGUAGAAUUUUCACUGUUUCAAGAGUUGUGAAAAUAAUAAAAAGAGAGAUGAUCAGUAUGAAGAAUUCUCUCUUCUAUGUUAUUGGAAUAAAUUUGAAGGUAGAAGCACUCUUCGGCAAUAGUUUUCAUAAGGACUUCCUCUUUCUCAACUUCUACAUUUUCACAUCAGUAGAUCACCUGAAAACAAAUCAUAAACAAGUGCAGAGAAUAGUUAGUCUUUAGUAAACCUGUGCAUAGUCUGAACGAAGCUGGAAAAUUCAUGUAUGGUCAUAAUGCAUCAAGCAAAACCCAUAUACUUUAACUAAAUCGGCUCAAGAAACAGAUCAUGCAGAGAAAUCAAACAUCAGGUGACCUUUGGGACAAAAGACUAGUUAAUUUCCUUGUUCUAAAACGCGGCGGCUUGGUCCGAGAACGCGGCGGAUAAACGUUAAACGGCUGUGGACCGUGGCGAUUUCAAUCUAAUCGGGUGAAAAAAUCGGAUGGUAGGAUAAAUCUCAAGUUUUUGUUCUUUUUAACCCAGAAACCAAAUGUUCUACGUAAGAUCUAUGACAAAACAGCAAAGAAAAAACAAGGAGAUGAUGGAAAAUCGAGAAAAAAAAAUCAACAGCCGUCGUGAUUAAAAUUGCAGAGAAAUAAACCUUAUAGUAAGAAGAUAACUGCUAAAUGACGAAAUUACCCUUCCUUAAAUGAAAACUCCAAAAUACAUUUAAUUUGCAUUGAAUAUGCUUCGAACCUGAGUUGGGAGGUGUUAAUAAACAACACUGAACCACC